rnacentral:rRNA from 1 species
GAUGAACGCUGGCGGCGUGCCUAAUACAUGCAAGUCGAGCGAACAGAUGAGGAGCUUGCUCCUCUGACGUUGGCGGCGGACGGGUGAGUAACACGUGGAUAACCUACCUAUAAGACUGGGAUAACUACGGGAAACCGGAGCUAAUACCGGAUAAUAUAUUGAACCGCAUGGUUCAAUAGUGAAAGACGGUUUUGCUGUCACUUAUAGAUGGAUCCGCGCCGCAUUAGCUAGUUGGUAAGGUAACGGCUUACCAAGGCAACGAUGCGUAGCCGACCUGAGAGGGUGAUCGGCCACACUGGAACUGAGACACGGUCCAGACUCCUACGGGAGGCAGCAGUAGGGAAUCUUCCGCAAUGGGCGAAAGCCUGACGGAGCAACGCCGCGUGAGUGAUGAAGGUCUUCGGAUCGUAAAACUCUGUUAUUAGGGAAGAACAAAUGUGUAAGUAACUAUGCACGUCUUGACGGUACCUAAUCAGAAAGCCACGGCUAACUACGUG